rnacentral:rRNA from 1 species
ACGUUAGCGGCGGACGGGUGAGUAACACGUGGGUAACCUACCUAUAAGACUGGGAUAACUUCGGGAAACCGGAGCUAAUACCGGAUAAUAUUUCGAACCGCAUGGUUCGAUAGUGAAAGAUGUUUUGCUAUCACUUAUAGAUGGACCUGCGCCGUAUUAGCUAGUUGGUAAGGUAACGGCUUACCAAGGCGACGAUACGUAGCCGACCUGAGAGGGUGAUCGGCCACACUGGAACUGAGACACGGUCCAGACUCCUACGGGAGGCAGCAGCC